UAUUUUCAUAAACUGGACGUGCAAUAAAUUAUUUUGGAUUUCUAUAUAACCCUAUACUGACAGGUGUUGUUUGUGUUUCUAUUUUUUUUUUUUUUUUUCAGAAUAUUUCAAAUAUUAUACAAAUUCUUUAACACGUUUGGUACGCUGCCAAAUUGUGUUUUUUACUGCGGUAAUAUAUUAUUAUCAAACGCGCCCGAAGCUUUCCAUAUAAAUUAAUG